UGCUUGAUAGCUCAGUUGGUAGAGCACUGCACCGGUAUCGCAGAAGUCAGUGUUAUGGGCUCGAAUCCCGUUCAAGCCU